rnacentral:rRNA from 1 species
GGUUGAUCCUGCCAGUAGUCAUAUGCUUGUCCCAAAGAUUAAGCCAUGCAUGUCUAAGUUUAAGCACCGAGUGUGAAACUGCGAAUGGCUCAUUAAAUCAGUUAUAAUUUACUUGAUAGUCAAACUUAUCAUUGGAUAACCGUGGUAAUUCUAGAGCUAAUACAUGCAAAAAGCCUGACGUGAGGAGGGCUGUAUUUAUUGGAUACGAAACUGAUGGCAGCGAUGCCUUGGUGAUUCACAAUAACUUUACGGAUCGUAUGGCCUUGGAGCUGACGACGUAUCAUUCAAAUUU